rnacentral:pre_miRNA from 1 species
ACCCUGUAGAUCCGGAUUUGUGUAAACAGACGCACAGUCACAAAUUCGUAUCUAGGGGAGU